GACACGUGGUAUCCUGUCUGAAUAUGGGGGGACCAUCCUCCAAGGCUAAAUACUCCUGACUGACCGAUAGUGAACCAGUACCGUGAGGGAAAGGCGAAAAGAACCCCGGCGAGGGGAGUGAAAAAGAACCUGAAACCGUGUACGUACAAGCAGUGGGAGCACAGGUUUACCUGUGUGACUGCGUACCUUUUGUAUAAUGGGUCAGCGACUUAUAUUCUGUAGCAAGGUUAACCGUAUAGGGGAGCCGYAGKGAAACCGAGUCUUAACCGGGCGUUAAGUUGCAGGGUAUAGACCCGAAACCCGGUGAUCUAGCCAUGGGCAGGUUGAAGGUUGGGUAACACUAACUGGAGGACCGAACCGACUAAUGUUGAAAAAUUAGCGGAUGACCUGUGGCUGGGGGUGAAAGGCCAAUCAAACCGGGAGAUAGCUGGUUCUCCCCGAAAGCUAUUUAGGUAGCGCCUCGUGAAUUCAUCUCCGGGGGUAGAGCACUGUUUCGGCUA
rnacentral:rRNA from 1 species